rnacentral:rRNA from 1 species
UGGGGAAUAUUGCACAAUGGGCGCAAGCCUGAUGCAGCCAUGCCGCGUGUGUGAAGAAGGCCUUCGGGUUGUAAAGCACUUUCAGCGAGGAGGAAGGUGGUGAACUUAAUACGUUCAUCAAUUGACGUUACUCGCAGAAGAAGCACCGGCUAACUCCGUGCCAGCAGCCGCGGUAAUACGGAGGGUGCAAGCGUUAAUCGGAAUUACUGGGCGUAAAGCGCACGCAGGCGGUUUGUUAAGUCAGAUGUGAAAUCCCCGGGCUCAACCUGGGAACUGCAUUUGAAACUGGCAAGCUAGAGUCUCGUAGAGGGGGGUAGAAUUCCAGGUGUAGCGGUGAAAUGCGUAGAGAUCUGGAGGAAUACCGGUGGCGAAGGCGGCCCACUGGACGAAGACUGACGCUCAGGUGCGAAAGCGUGGGGGAGCAAACAGGAUUAGAUACCCUGGUAGUCCACGCUGUAAACGAUGUCGAUUUUGGAGGUUGUGCCCCUUGAGGCGUGGCUUCCGGAGCUAACGCGUUAAAGUCGACCG